rnacentral:misc_RNA from 1 species
AAGUAGAUGGACUUUUAAUCC